UACACACCCGUGACUUCCUCUUGCUCAGUCCAUCAAUCAAGCACAAAACACUCCUUUUUUCUUCUAUAACAACUGAAACUUUUCUAUGUUCUUGCCCCACUCCUACUGAGCUUUUCAUUUCACCUUUUUGUCUUCAUUUACUCCACCUAUUCACCACCAAAGCACAACCGUGAAUCCCUUCCCCUCUGUCAGUCCAUCAACCAAGCACAAAGCAACCAUUUUUCUUCUUCUCCUUCCUCACUGAAAGUUUUAGACUCAUAGAACAAAGUUUUAGACUCAUAGAAACUCAUAGAACAAAGUUUCAAACUCAUAGAAACCCAGAGAACACUUUCUCCGAUCUCUCCCUCCUUCCGGCAACAAACCAAUCUGCAAUCAUAAACAUUUUUCAGAUCCAGUUCAUCACUCCCGUGAAAGCCUUACUUCUCUCUUGUGUGCUCUCUAUCCUCCCGUCAAGAAUCGUAAAGGGGUGUCGAUUUCCUUUCAGAUCCAGACACAACUCAGCUCAUAUCUCCCAUUUCGUCCUCAACACCUCAGAUUCGGCGCGCUUUAUUGAAAAUCUUUCAGUUCUUCUUCUCAGGUUGAUAAUUGCAAGUUCAUCGCAAUAGCUACUUACAAUGCUAUGAACAAAUGUACAUGUCACUCAGCCCACUGGCGUAGAAUUGAUUAUUACUUUUGACUCUAGAGGACAUUUCGACAUUUAUCCGGAAUUGGGGUACACAGAAGACCUUGUUGGUCUACCUUGACUGUCGUCUCCCCCGUACUUUCUGUUAAAAGCAGUGUUGGGUCAAACAAGAUGAGUGAGUCCGUUCAACGGACUGCUGAACUCACCCAUAGGUUUUUAGAACUGUUGGCUGAGUGGGUGAAAACAACCCAUGGUACUGCAAUUAGAGCUUCUGACCAUAGGAGGAUUAGUGAACAAUUACAAAAGGUAGCGUAGAAGAAACUGGAAGUGCAAUAGUUGUCUUCUAAGUACCAAUGCUUGCGAUCGACAUACAGGUCUUAGCGUGCGCUAAUAGAACAUACGGGGUUUGGUUGGGAUCACGAGUCCCAACCUCCAACAUGUCCUAAAGAGAUAUGGGAAGAAUAUAUAAAGCAAAACCCUGGUGCGCAACAAUUCCUACACAAAGGACUUGUUAAUAGAGAGUUAUAUGAGGUCAUAUUCCAGAAGCAAAAUGCAACUGGCAGAUUUGCUUACACAUCUGCAUCUCAACCUACGGCAUCCAACAUGGGUUUUCCAGAUCCUAUCGACGCAGACAUGAAUGUAGAUGACUUUGAUCCAGAUCCAGAUAGAUUAACUGGGGAAAAACGAUCUAACAGGUCUGGAGAUAGCAGAUCUGUAAAUAGGAGAAGGAGAGACAAGGAGGGAAACCCAUUAUUGGGUGUGAUUGGUCAGUUGGCGGAAGCUAUUUCUAAUAAGACUAUGGGAUCUGCAGCAUCAAAUCGUAGUGCCGGUGAUAGAACCCAAGAGAACACAAGUGUUAGGACGGAUCAAUAUUCCCUGGAAAAUUGUCAGGCAAUUUUGGAAAGUAAGCAACUUCCAUCGUAACUAUAUUUGGAUGUUGUGAAGUACUUAAUUGCCAACCCAAAGUGGCGUUAGCUAAUGGUGAACAUGUCACCGGAGAUAAGGGAAUUUUGGGUUUAUAAUGAUUUCCUUAGUAUGUAGAUGACGGUGUUUGACUUCCUGGUUGAACUUGUAGUUUUCGCUUGUUACUCUUUUUUUAUUCCGUUGACAUUUGAGAUAUUUUAUAUUUAC